rnacentral:rRNA from 1 species
GGAUGCGAUCAUACCAGCACUAAAGCACCGGAUCCCAUCAGAACUCCGAAGUUAAGCGUGCUUGGGCGAGAGUAGUACUAGGAUGGGUGACCUCCUGGGAAGUCCUCCUAUUGCAUUCC